CAGCAGCCGCGGUAAUACGGAGGGUGCAAGCGUUAAUCGGAAUUACUGGGCGUAAAGCGCACGCAGGCGGUCUGACAAGUCAGAUGUGAAAUCCCCGGGCUUAACCUGGGAACUGCAUUGAAACUGUCAGGCUGGAGUCUUGUAGAGGGGGGUGGAAUUCCAGGUGUAGCGGUGAAAUGCGUAGAGAUCUGGAGGAAUACCGGUGGCGAAGGCGGCCCCCUGGACAAAGACUGACGCUCAGGUGCGAAAGCGUGGGGAGCAAACAGGAUUAGAUACCCCGGUAGUCCCUGUCUCUUAUACC
rnacentral:rRNA from 1 species